rnacentral:rRNA from 1 species
GACCCUUGACAUGGGAAGUUUGGGCUUGAGAGAUCAGGUCCUUCAGUUCGGCUGGCUUCCACAC